AGAGUUUGAUCCUGGCUCAGAACGAACGCUGGCGGAUGACAAACACAUGCAAGUCGAACGAGACCUUCGGGUCUAGUGGCGCACGGGUGCGUAACGCGUGGGAAUCUGCCCUUAGGUACGGAAUAACUCAGGGAAACUUGAGCUAAUACCGUAUAAUGACUCCGGUCCAAAGAUUUAUCGCCUAAGGAUGAGCCCGCGUAGGAUUAGCUAGUUGGUGAGGUAAAAGCUCACCAAGGCGACGAUCCUUAGCUGGUCUGAGAGGAUGAUCAGCCACACUGGGACUGAGACACGGCCCAGACUCCUACGGGAGGCAGCAGUGGGGAAUAUUGGACAAUGGGCGAAAGCCUGAUCCAGCAAUGCCGCGUGAGUGAUGAAGGCCUUAUGGUUGUAAAGCUCUUUUACCCGGGAUGAUAAUGACAGUACCGGGAGAAUAAGCCCCGGCUAACUCCGUGCCAGCAGCCGCGGUAAUACGGAGGGGGCUAGCGUUGUUCGGAAUUACUGGGCGUAAAGCGCACGUAGGCGGCUUUGUAAGUUAGAGGUGAAAGCCCGGGGCUCAACUCCGGAAUUGCCUUUAAGACUGCAUCGCUAGAAUUGUGGAGAGGUAAGUGGAAUUCCGAGUGUAGAGGUG
rnacentral:rRNA from 1 species